AGCUCUGGCUGAUUGGGUGAUUGUGGAGCGGCGGGAAGCAUUGUCCGCAACCAGACCAUGUGCCAACCUGUCC
rnacentral:sRNA from 1 species